rnacentral:sRNA from 1 species
AGUCAUUAUCAUGCAACACAUUUUUUUCUCCAAAAACGAAUCGGACCUUUGAUAAUAGCAAAACGUGAUUGGAGAAUUCCGAAUGCUCGCUCUACAUCUUUUCUACAUGCUUUUUGUUGUACAGCAAAAUAUUUUUUCUUUUGAGUCACAAAUUCGUAAAUAUUUUGCACUAUAGUUAACCAUUUUGGAUAAAUACCAUCAGCCAAGUAAUAUCUCAUAUUGUAUUCUUUUCCUUGAAUGGUAUAAUGAACAUGAGGAGCAAUAUCUAAAGCAAGAUUAGAGAAGAGGUGGGAAGACUCCAACACAUUAAUAUCAGUAUUAGUGUCUGGUAAUCCAAAAUAUGCAUGUUAUAUCCAAAGAUCAUAAUUUGACACAGCUUCAAGGAUUCAGACCCCAAAUGUAAAGCUAAGUGCUAGAAUCCUCCACAACCUCAAGGAUAUCUUCUAUCUGCAAUAGCAAUACAAGGGUCAAGCAUUGAGACAUGAUUUGAUAUAACAUCAAAAGCGAGCAACCGGCUUACAGUUUCAAGUAAACAACACUUGAAUGGGCAUCAUUUUUGUUGAUGACCUCCUUAACCAAACCUAAAUAGACCAUGACUAAUUGGACAACCCAUGGGAACCCAAAUAAUAUAAUUUUUUAUUUUCCGUCAAAACCACAAAAACAUAUUUUUUGAC